AAACCUGCAACAAAGAGGCAGAUUACCACCACCACUAGUACCGAGAAGCUUUUCGAGAGCUCAUUGUCAGUGCUGAACUUGACCCCUAAGAUUAUGGCAACUAUCACCUGUUUCACAUGCAAAGAGUAAUCCGAUAAGGAACUGAUUUGGGGGAGAAUGUUUCCUUCAAGAACACAGUCAUAGUUUAACCCUUUAGACAACUGAAUACAAUACAGAGGAGAAAAGAGUAUUUAUGUACUUAUACGGUGGAAAUAAGAAGUAAAUAAUUCCACAUGUAGCCGAUGUUCACACCUGGUUUCCAAAUCCUAUGCCGAACCCAAGCAUGAUCCUGCCCAAUAUAAGCAUUGCGAGGUUUGCAGCUGAAGCAUUUAAAGUUGCUCCUAUUAUAAAGCUCAUUCCACCACAUAUUAUGCUUCCACGACGCCCGUAUUUUCGGGUAAUGGGAGAUGCCACUAGAGAUGCAACAAGACCAGCAAGAUAGAGAGAAGAUGUGAAUGCUGCUAGGCCUUGGUUGUUGUACUUGCAGUAGUUGUUUUCAUGAG